CGUUAGCGGCGGACGGGUGAGUAACACGUGGAUAACCUACCUAUAAGACUGGGAUAACUUCGGGAAACCGGAGCUAAUACCGGAUAAUAUAUUGAACCGCAUGGUUCAAUAGUGAAAGACGGUUUUGCUGUCACUUAUAGAUGGAUCCGCGCCGCAUUAGCUAGUUGGUAAGGUAACGGCUUACCAAGGCAACGAUGCGUAGCCGACCUGAGAGGGUGAUCGGCCACACUGGAACUGAGACACGGUCCAGACUCCUACGGGAGGCAGCAGUAGGGAAUCUUCCGCAAUGGGCGAAAGCCUGACGGAGCAACGCCGCGUGAGUGAUGAAGGUCUUCGGAUCGUAAAACUCUGUUAUUAGGGAAGAACAAAUGUGUAAGUAACUAUGCACGUCUUGACGGUACCUAAUCAGAAAGCCACGGCUAACUACGUGCCAGCAGCCGCGGUAAUACGUAGGUGGCAAGCGUUAUCCGGAAUUAUUGGGCGUAAAGCGCGCGUAGGCGGUUUUUUAAGUCUGAUGUGAAAGCCCACGGCUCAACCGUGGAGGGUCAUUGGAAACUGGAAAACUUGAGUGCAGAAGAGGAAAGUGGAAUUCCAUGUGUAGCGGUGAAAUGCGCAGAGAUAUGGAGGAACACCAGUGGCGAAGGCGACUUUCUGGUC
rnacentral:rRNA from 1 species